GUGGGGAAUCUUAGACAAUGGGCGCAAGCCUGAUCUAGCCAUGCCGCGUGAGCGAUGAAGGCCUUAGGGUUGUAAAGCUCUUUCGUGGGGGAAGAUAAUGACUGUACCCCAAGAAGAAGCCCCGGCUAACUCCGUGCCAGCAGCCGCGGUAAUACGGAGGGGGCUAGCGUUGUUCGGAAUUACUGGGCGUAAAGCGCACGUAGGCGGACUGGAAAGUCAGGGGUGAAAUCCCGGGGCUCAACCCCGGAACUGCCUUUGAAACUCCCAGUCUUGAGUGCGAGAGAGGUGAGUGGAAUUCCGGGUGUAGAGGUGAAAUUCGUAGAUAUUCGGAGGAACACCAGUGGCGAAGGCGGCUCACUGGCUCGAUACUGACGCUGAGGUGCGAAAGCGUGGGGAGCAAACAGGAUUAGAAACCCGAGUAGUCC
rnacentral:rRNA from 1 species